AACUAAUAUCUUCUUUUUGGAUUUUUGAUUAGGUCUUAAAUUACAAGUCUGAAUGAUGGUUUGGAAGUUUUUGCUAACAAGUCAAAUGGAGGAAGGCUUUAGGUUUAGGAAUGUACAAGUGUAGAAUUUGGUGGUCAUGUACUUAGACUCAAAAUGUAAAAUCUUGGAUUCUUGUAAACAAUAUAAAAUUUGAAAUUGCACUCCAUGUACAAUUGGAAACUUUGAACUUAAUAGGAUGUGAACUUGAAUGUGACUAUGCUUGAUUUUCUCUCAACUAAUGUCUUCUUUUUGGAUUUUUGAUUAGGUCUUAAAUUACAAGU
rnacentral:lncRNA from 1 species